UUGAAUUAACACGUGGGAGAAAUAUAUAUUCAGUAUCUAUGCCUAAAAGAAAACCAACGAUUACUUAAAAAAGAAUUCAAGUGCAACAACAGAAAAAUAUCCAAUUUUGAACACAUGAACAAAACCAACAGACAUUUCACGAAAUAGAAAGGAAUGACGACAAAACUUACUCAAUUACUUUCCAAUCGAAGCGGCACCCUCAAUCACACACAGUUACAACUUAUCAAAGAAAAAUGGAAGAAAAAGAAAAAUAGAAACAGAGAACAAUAAAAAGAAUAAGUAAGAAGGAAAGAAGAAGAAAAAUAAAAGGGAACGUAACUAGCGUUUUCUAAAACUAAUAACCAAAAUUCUGAUAGUUAGUAAAAUAUUUCUUCUAGCACGUUCUGUAACUCGAACAUAGGACUAGAUAGAAUAUAGAAGCUUAACUGUCAAACCAG
rnacentral:lncRNA from 1 species